GCCAGCAUGGCCUGGUGGUUUGAGUGUUGGACUACAACUCUGAAGACCAGGGUUCGAUUCCCUGCUCGAGUA